rnacentral:rRNA from 1 species
UACGAAGGGGGCUAGCGUUGCUCGGAAUCACUGGGCGUAAAGGGCGCGUAGGCGGGUCUUUAAGUCAGGGGUGAAAUCCUGGAGCUCAACUCCAGAACUGCCUUUGAUACUGAAGAUCUUGAGUUCGGGAGAGGUGAGUGGAACUGCGAGUGUAGAGGUGAAAUUCGUAGAUAUUCGGAAGAACACCAGUGGCGAAGGCGGCUCACUGGCCCGGUACUGACGCUGAGGUGCGAAAGCGUGGGGAGCAAACAGG